rnacentral:tRNA from 1 species
ACCUGGGUGGCUCAGUCGGUUGAGCGUCUGACUUUGGCUCAGGUCAUGAUCUCACAGUUCGUGGGUUCGAGCCCUCCAUCGGGCU